CCGUUGAACCUUCGUAUACUGUUUGUAGAUCUGUAGCUCCCGCUACUUCUAAUGCUUUGUAUUGCACCAAAUUAUUAGAGUUCGGCAUCUUUGUUGAUCGAAUCGUAGUCUGUGUAAUUAUCGUCUGAUAAGUCGACGUCGGUGAUACUAUCUGUUCGGACCGAAGAGUGAGUUGACGAGUUUAGAUCGACUAGCGAGUCGAUCUCGAUCGAAUUCUGUGGUCGUCGGAUACUGUGGUUGAUUUCAUUGACCGUUGGACUUCAUCACCGGCCCGUAAAUAGCUAUCGAUUUUGUGACGAUCGUCGUCAAAUAUCAUUCUCUUUUUGGCCUCCUCUGACACCGUGGAAUCCCACCAGAGGAUGAACGCCGGUGGAUGAGAGCCCCAAAAUCGAUCGAAAGCCAUUGUACCAUCCGUUGAACACCGUUGGAUUAAUGAUUUGUUUGGUCUGAUUUGGUGAACCUUGGCUGAUUAAUGGGCAAUUCUUGGCUGAAUAUAUGUGUUAUGGGUUCAUCUAGUUUGGACAAUUCUUGGCUGAAUAAAUGUGCAAUUCUUGGUGAACCUUGGCUGAUUAAUGGGCGAUUCUGAUUUUGGUGACAAUUUUAUGUUAGGUUUUGUGAAAAUCAAAAUAGUAAUUAAAUUGUACAAAUUAGCGAAAGCAAAGUAAAAUUAGAUUUUAAAAUUUUUCACAAACCAAUUACACAGGUCAUCCUUUAUGGAAUUAUACCCUUGUAGAUACGAGCUUCUACAAGUACGAGUUCAAUUCCUACUUCUCCGUGAUCUCCUUGAAUUUCCGGGUAGAUUCCUUCCUUUGAUCAAUGUUAGCCACUCAAGUGUAUGACCUCUACAGGUAAUCUGUAAGACCCCAAUUUUUUUUUGAAUAAAGAAUAAUUUUUCUCGAA
rnacentral:lncRNA from 1 species